UCCAGCAUGCCGCGUGUGUGAAGAAGGCCUUCGGGUUGUAAAGCACUUUUGUCCGGAAAGAAAUCCUUGGCUCUAAUACAGUCGGGGGAUGACGGUACCGGAAGAAUAAGCACCGGCUAACUACGUGCCAGCAGCCGCGGUAAUACGUAGGGUGCGAGCGUUAAUCGGAAUUACUGGGCGUAAAGCGUGCGCAGGCGGUUUGCUAAGACCGAUGUGAAAUCCCCGGGCUCAACCUGGGAACUGCAUUGGUGACUGGCAGGCUAGAGUAUGGCAGAGGGGGGUAGAAUUCCACGUGUAGCAGUGAAAUGCGUAGAGAUGUGGAGGAAUACCGAUGGCGAAGGCAGCCCCCUGGGCCAAUACUGACGCUCAUGCACGAAAGCGUGGGGAGCAAACAGGAUUAGAUACCCUGGUAGUCCACGCCCUAAACGAUGUCAACUAGUUGUUGGGGAUUCAUUUCCUUAGUAACGUAGCUAACGCGUGAAGUUGACCGCCUGGGGAGUACGGUCGCAAGAUUAAAACUCAAAGGAAUUGACGGGGACCCGCACAAGCGGUGGAUGAUGUGGAUUAAUUCGAUGCAACGCGAAAAACCUUACCUACCCUUGACAUGGUCGGAAUCCUGCUGAGA
rnacentral:rRNA from 1 species